rnacentral:rRNA from 1 species
AGUGAACGCUGGCGGUAGGCCUAACACAUGCAAGUCGAACGGAAGCACUUACAGAGUUUGUUGUUACGGGUUGCGAGUGGCGGGAGGGUGAGGAAUACCUAGCAAUCUUCUAAUUCGUGGUGGAUAACGAAGUAAAACUUACGCUAAUACGGCAAACGUCCUACAGGUGAAAGCGGGGGAUCUUCUGAUCUUGCACGAUUGGAUGGUCCGAUGUCGGAUUGCCUAGUUGGCGGGGUAAAGGUCCGCCAAGGCGACGAUCCGAAGCUGGUCUGAGAGGAUGAUCAGCCACACGGGAACUGAGACACGGUCCAGACUCCGACGGGAGGCAGCGGUCGGAAAUAUUCGAGAAUGGGCGGAAGCCUAAUCUAGCCAAACCGCGUGAGUGAAGAAGGCCCACGGGUUGUAAAGCCCUUUUGUUGGGAAGGAAAUACAGCUGUGUAAUACUCCGCGAUUCUGACGGUACCCAAAGAAUAAGCACCGGCUAACUUCGUG